GAUGAAGAACGCAGCGAAAUGCGAUAAGUAAUGUGAAUUGCAGAAUUCAGUGAAUCAUCGAAUCUUUGAACGCACAUUGCGCCCCUUGGUAUUCCGAGGGGCAUGCCUGUUCGAGCGUCAUUUCAACCCUCAAGCACGGCUUGUGUGUUGGGCCUCCGUCCUCCUCCCGGGGGACGGGCCCGAAAGGCAGCGGCGGCACCGCGUCCGGUCCUCGAGCGUAUGGGGCUUCGUCACCCGCUCUUGUAGGCCCGGCCGGCGCUUGCCGACACAUCAAUCUUUUUUCCAGGUUGACCUCGGAUCAGGUAGGGAUACCCGCUGAACUUAAGCAUAUCAAUAAGCGGAGGA
rnacentral:misc_RNA from 1 species